UAACUCAAGUUUCCAAUAAAUCGCAGUUUUUAUUAAAAUUUUCGCGUUUUUAAAAUCGUUGCGACCCUUGCAAUGCGGUUCUUGCGACAAUUACGAUUUAAUAAAAACUGCGAUUUAUUGGAAACUUGAGUC